GCUUGAGGUUGUACUCUCUUGCCCUUUCAAGGAGUUUUAUCAGUCUGGCAUCAUGCUCUGGCGUCUGGCGUCAUGCUCAAGGCAAAGGUUAACUGUUUCUACCCCAAUGGUGACAUCUGGUGUCCUGAGAAUGUCCGUGGCGUAGGCAUCAAUAUUCCUUGAGCCCUCCUAAAGAAUAUGUGACAUGUAAGCGUGUCUCCAUUUGGUGUGGGGCUCAUAGAGCCUGAGUGGGCGGGGCUGUA